GAUGAACGCUGGCGGCGUGCCUAAUACAUGCAAGUCGAGCGGACAGACGAGGAUCGUGCUUCUCUUACGUGAGCGGCGGACGGGUGAGUAACACGUGUAUAACCGACCUAUGAGACUGAGAUAACGUCGGGAAACCUGAUCUAAUACCGGAUAAUAUAUUGAACCGCAUGGUUCAAUAGUGAAAGACGGAUUUGCUGUCACUUAUAGAUGUAUCCGCGCCGCAUUAGCUAGUUGGUAAGGUAACGGCCUACCAAGGCAACGAUGCGUAGCCGACCUGAGAGGGUGAUCGGUCACACUGGAACUGAGACACGGUCCAGACUCCUACGGGGGGCAGCAGUAGGGAAUCUUCCGCAAUGGGCGAAAGCCUGACGGAGCAACGCCGCGUGAGUGAUGAAGGUCUUCGGAUCGUAAAACUCUGUUAUUAGGGAAGAACAAAUGUGUAAGUAAAUAUGCACGUCUUGACGGUACCAACUCAGAAAGCCACGGCUAACUACGUG
rnacentral:rRNA from 1 species